AUUGAACGCUGGCGGCAGGCUUAACACAUGCAAGUCGAGCGAGCGGCGGACGGGUGAGUAAUAUCUGGGACACUGCCUGAUGGAGGGGGAUAACUACUGGAAACGGUAGCUAAUACCGCAUACCAUCAGAUGUGCCGAGAUGGGAUUAGCUAGUAGGUGGGGUAAUGGCUCACCUAGGCCACGAUCCCUAGCUGGUCUGAGAGGAUGACCAGCCACACUGGAACGGAGACACGGUCCAGACUCCUACGGGAGGCAGCAGUGGGGAAUAUUGGACAAUGGGCGAAAGCCUGAUGCAGCCAUGCCGCGUGUAUGAAGAAGGUCUUCGGGUUGUAAAGCACUUUAAGCGGGGAGGCGUUACCAGCAGAAGAAGCACCGGCUAACUCCGUGCCAGCAGCCGCGGUAAUUC
rnacentral:rRNA from 1 species